CGCUGAGGUAGUUCACAAAGAACAAUAGCCUGUCUAGCUGGAGGUGCCUGUGGUUGGGUUCUCGGCGG
rnacentral:tRNA from 1 species